GGGAAAGCCAACCAUCGCAGCAAAGCUAACGGGACAACCACGCCGUUCUCUCUCUCGCCCUGCCCACCCCUCUCGGCUCUCUCUUUCUCUCUCUCUGCAAUUUGUAGGGUUUGCCAGAACUUAAUUGUUAUUUUAUCUGCAUAUCCAGAGAUGGUACUGUCACAGAAGCUUCACGAAGCAUUCAAAGGCACAGUAGAGAGAAUCACAGGGCCGCGGACGGUCUCUGCCUUCAAAGAGAAAGGCGUUCUUAGCGUCAGCGAAUUCAUUAUCGCUGGUGACAAUCUCGUCUCUAAAUGCCCCACCUGGUCCUGGGAAUCAGGCGAACCAAGCAAGAGGAAGUCUUACUUGCCUCCAGAAAAACAGUUCUUGAUCACUCGGAAUGUUCCCUGCCUACGAAGAGCUGCGUCCGUUGAAGAAGAAUAUGAAGCU
rnacentral:misc_RNA from 1 species